rnacentral:lncRNA from 1 species
UUCGUAGAUUGUUCUGCGGGCUUGAGCCUAUUGACCGGCUCAAUAGAACAUAUUUGCAUUUGCUAAAGUUCCAGCUUAGUGUUUCCGAAGUGACGGCAGGGUAGUUGUGGUCGAUCGGAGUUAUUUGCUGUUUCACCCUUCGACGGCUCCACGUUCGCUGCGCCUCAUCAACAGGCUCAUACUUGGCGAAGUGGUGUAGCUGCUUCAAGACUACACGGGCGAAAAAAAGAAAAGGCCCAAUGGUAGCGGGUAGCUGCUGCCGAAUGGCGACCUUUCUGAGCGGACCUACCAAGCACUUUCGGAUCGGCAAGUAUGCCACCUGGAUGACCACAGGAACUUUUAAAUAUAUGUGGCCUAGGGUGUCCUAGAGACUGAUUUGCACACUCUGGAGGCAGGAUUAUGAUUGAAGAGGGUGAAGGCUUGCUGAGCAGUGUGAAACA